rnacentral:rRNA from 1 species
AGUCGUACGCUUCUUUUUCCCCGGAGCUUGCUCCACCGGAAAAGGAGGAGUGGCGAACGGGUGAGUAACACGUGGGUAACCUGCCCAUCAGAAGGGGAUAACACUUGGAAACAGGUGCUAAUACCGUAUAACAAUCGAAACCGCAUGGUUUUGAUUUGAAAGGCGCUUUCGGGUGUCGCUGAUGGAUGGACCCGCGGUGCAUUAGCUAGUUGGUGAGGUAACGGCUCACCAAGGCCACGAUGCAUAGCCGACCUGAGAGGGUGAUCGGCCACAUUGGGACUGAGACACGGCCCAAACUCCUACGGGAGGCAGCAGUAGGGAAUCUUCGGCAAUGGACGAAAGUCUGACCGAGCAACGCCGCGUGAGUGAAGAAGGUUUUCGGAUCGUAAAACUCUGUUGUUAGAGAAGAAUAAGGAUGAGAGUAACUGUUCAUCCCUUGACGGUAUCUAACCAGAAAGCCACGGCUAACUACGUGCCAGCAGCCGCGGUAAUACGUAGGUGGCAAGCGUUGUCCGGAUUUAUUGGGCGUAAAGCGAGCGCAGGCGGUUUCUUAAGUCUGAUGUGAAAGCCCCCGGCUCAACCGGGGAGGGUCAUUGGAAACUGGGAGACUUGAGUGCAGAAGAGGAGAGUGGAAUUCCAUGUGUAGCGGUGAAAUGCGUAGAUAUAUGGAGGAACACCAGUGGCGAAGGCGGCUCUCUGGUCUGUAACUGACGCUGAAGCUCGAAAGCGUGGGGAGCAAACAGGAUAGAUACCCUGGUAGUCCACGCCGUA